GUCAUGUUUAACGACAUGAGUGAAAAACAUCGUUCUUUGAACUGUUUUUCAAUUUGGGAAGUCGGUGAGUUUAACUAUGAACCCGACACUGCCCCCGCAACGGUAAAUUGGUUAUAUCGCUUCGUAUACCACUGCAGGUGAAUUAAAAGGUUUUGCUCCUUUUAAAACUUGUGGGAAGGUGAAGUGAUUAGGUGCGUUUAGCGCCUAGCUGAUGAGUCCGGAUACCAACCUGAUGAUCUGUUAUACAG
rfam:Oleiphilus sp. HI0069 HI0069_c227, whole genome shotgun sequence.